rnacentral:rRNA from 1 species
GACGAACGCUGGCGGCGGGCUUAACACAUGCAAGUCGAACGGAAAGGCCCUGCUGUUGUGGGGUGCUCGAGUGGCGAACGGGUGAGUAACACGUGAGUAACCUGCCCUUGACUGUGGGAGAACUUCAGGAAACUGGGGUUAAUACCGGAUAGGAGCUCCUGCUGCAUGGUGGGGGUGGGAAAGUUUCGGCGGUUGGGGAUGGACGCGCGGCUUAUCAGCUUGUUGGUGGGGGAGUGGCGUACCAAGUCUUUGACGGGUAGCCGGCCUGAGAGGGUGACCGGCCACCUUGGGCCUGCGGUACGCCCCAGUCGCCUACGGGGGACAGCGGUGGGGAAUCUUGCACAAUGGGCCCGCGCGUAUUGAGGAGACGCCCCGUGUGGAAUGUAGGCCUUCGGGUUGUAAACCGAUUUAGCCUGUUACGAAGCGUGAGUGACGGUAAUGGGUAAAGAAGCACCGGCUAACUACGUG